UGACGAAUUGAAACUAAAGUU
rnacentral:piRNA from 1 species